GACUGUGAUAACCCAGUAGGUAGAGCAGGAGACUCUUAAUCUCAGGAUUGUGGGUUCAAUCCCCACUUUGGGCA